GACGAACGCUGGCGGCGUGCUUAACACAUGCAAGUCGAACGGAAAGGCCCUGCUUGCAGGGUACUCGAGUGGAGAACGGGUGAGUAACACGUGGGUGAUCUGCCCUGCACUUCGGGUUAAGCCUGGGAAACUGGGUCUAAUACCGGAUAGGAGCCAUUUUUAGUGUGAUGGUUGGAAAGUUUUUUCGGUGUAGGAUGAGCUCGCGGCCUAUCAGCUUGUUGGUGGGGUAAUGGCCUACCAAGGCGGCGACGGGUAGCCGGCCUGAGAGGGUGGACGGCCACGUUGGGACUGAGAUACGGCCCAGACUCCUACGGGAGGCAGCAGUGGGGAAUAUUGCACAAUGGGCGCAAGCCUGAUGCAGCGACGCCGCGUGGGGGAUGACGGCCUUCGGGUUGUAAACUCCUUUCGCUAGGGACGAAGCUUUUUGUGACGGUACCUAGAUAAGAAGCACCGGCUAACUACGUG
rnacentral:rRNA from 1 species